UGCGUAGAGAUGUGGAGGAAUACCGAUGGCGAAGGCAGCCCCCUGGGCCAACACUGACGCUCAUGCACGAAAGCGUGGGGAGCAAACAGGAUUAGAUACCCUGGUAGUCCACGCCCUAAACGAUGUCAACUAGUUGUUGGGGAUUCAUUUCCUUAGUAACGCAGCUAACGCGUGAAGUUGACCGCCUGGGGAGUACGGUCGCAAGAUUAAAACUCAAAGGAAUUGACGGGGACCCGCACAAGCGGUGGAUGAUGUGGAUUAAUUCGAUGCAACGCGAAAAACCUUACCUACCCUUG
rnacentral:rRNA from 1 species